AGUCUUCACAGAACACUAAGGGGGGUCUGGGAAAAAAAGAAAGACAACUGAAAGAAAAGGAAUAUAUCUCAGUCCACCACCCAAACCAUUUAAUUUCAAAUUUCAUCCAAGAUCCAAAGAAACUGAGGAUUCCAGGAGGAGAGACAUUCAGAAGCCAGAUGUCGGAGAAGCCAAAAUUGAGCCUGUGAAAGGAUCUUCUCCUGUUGUGAAGCAGCUGAAAAAGGGGAAACCAAGCCAUCUGGGGAAGGAGAUUACCACACAAGCUCAUCACUCCACAGCCCAUUACAAGACCACCGUUCAUCAGCAAUCACCGGAUUUGGGGGAUUUUAGGUCCCCAUACUGGCUAACUAGUGAUGAAGUUGACAUGUCAUCAUUCCUUCUAUCAAGACAGUUUCCAAAUGUUAGUGGAUUCCAGUCCACACUGCUUUACAGUUCAUUGUAUUGUAGGAACACCUACAUCACCCUGUCCAGAUUCUCAAUGUGCACGGAAACCACUGGGUCACUGUCAGCAACAUGUUCUGUAGUGCUAAUGAAAUAUGCGUGUAUGACAGCAUGUACAGUGGUGUAGAUAAAAAUGAAGAAUCACACCAUUUUGUUGUAAAUGUACCUGCUAUUCAGCAACAACAAAAGGGAAGCAAUUGUGGCUUAUUUGCAAUAGCUUUUGCAGCAGCCCUUUGCCAGGGAGAGAUACCAGAAACAGUAGUGUUUUCUGAGAAAAGGCUGUGAGCUCACUUUGCAGGCAGCUUGAAAAAAAGAAAUAUCAGCACAUUUCCAGUAAUAAAGAGAAAGAAAACAGAAGAUGAUGUUGCAGUUCUAGCAAUUGACGUGCACUGUGUUUGUAGAAUGGUACACAACA